AGCUCCAAUAGCGUAUAUUAAAGUUGUUGCAGUUAAAAAGCUCGUAGUUGGAUUUGUGGUGUAUGCGUUUGGCCGCCUCCUUUUGGAGGUGUGCUGUGACGCGUCGCCAUCUUUGGGUGGAAUCUGCGUGGCAUUAGGUUGUCGUGCAGGGGAUGCCCAUCGUUUACUGUGAAAAAAUUAGAGUGUUCAAAGCAGGCUUAUGCCGUUGAAUAUGUUAGCAUGGAAUAAUGAGAUAGGACCUUGGUACUAUUUUGUUGGUUUGCGCACCAAGGUAAUGAUUAAUAGGGACAGUUGGGGGUAUUCGUAUUUCAUUGUCAGAGGUGAAAUUCUUGGAUUUUUGAAAGACGAACUACUGCGAAAGCAUUUACCAAGGAUGUUUUCA
rnacentral:rRNA from 1 species